rnacentral:rRNA from 1 species
GUGAACGCUGGCGGUAGGCCUAACACAUGCAAGUCGCGCGGCAGCACAGUAAGAGCUUGCUCUUACGGGUGGCGAGUGGCGGACGGGUGAGGAAUACAUCGGAAUCUACUUUUUCGUGGGGGAUAACGUAGGGAAACUUACGCUAAUACCGCAUACGACCUACGGGUGAAAGCAGGGGAUCUUCGGACCUUGCGCGAUUGAAUGAGCCGAUGUCGGAUUAGCUAGUUGGCGGGGUAAAGGCCCACCAAGGCGACGAUCCGUAGCUGGUCUGAGAGGAUGAUCAGCCACACUGGAACUGAGACACGGUCCAGACUCCUACGGGAGGCAGCAGUGGGGAAUAUUGGACAAUGAGCGCAAGCCUGAUCCAGCCAUACCGCGUGGGUGAAGAAGGCCUUCGGGUUGUAAAGCCCUUUUGUUGGGAAAGAAAAGCAGCAGGUUAAUACCCCGCUGUUCUGACGGUACCCAAAGAAUAAGCACCGGCUAACUUCGUG